AUGAACGCUGGCGGCGUGCCUAAUACCUGCAAGUCGAGCGAACAGACGAGGAGCUUGCUCCUCUGACGUUAGCGGCGGACGGGUGAGUAACCCGUGGAUAACCUACCUAUAAGACUGGGAUAACUUCGGGAAACCGGAGCUAAUACCGGAUAAUAUAUUGAACCGCAUGGUUCAAUAGUGAAAGACGGUUUUGCUGUCACUUAUAGAUGGAUCCGCGCCGCAUUAGCUAGUUGGUAAGGUAACGGCUUACCAAGGCGACGAUGCGUAGCCGACCUGAGAGGGGGAUCGGCCACACUGGAACUGAGACACGGUCCAGACUCCUACGGGAGGCAGCAGUAGGGAAUCUUCCGCAAUGGGCGAAAGCCUGACGGAGCAACGCCGCGUGAGUGAUGAAGGUCUUCGGAUCGUAAAACUCUGUUAUUAGGGAAGAACAAAUGUGUAAGUAACUAUGCACGUCUUGACGGUACCUAAUCAGAAAGCCACGGCUAACUACGUG
rnacentral:rRNA from 1 species